rnacentral:rRNA from 1 species
AUUGAACGCUGGCGGCAUGCCUUACACAUGCAAGUCGAACGGCAGCACGGGUGCUUGCACCUGGUGGCGAGUGGCGAACGGGUGAGUAAUACAUCGGAACGUACCUUAUCGUGGGGGAUAACAAAUUGAAAAAUUUGCUAAUACCGCAUAAUACUCUGAGGAGGAAAGCGGGGGAUUCGUAAGAACCUCGUGCGAUUAGAGCGGCCGAUGGCUGAUUAGCUAGUUGGUGAGGUAAAGGCCCACCAAGGCAACGAUCAGUAGCAGGUCUGAGAGGAUGAUCUGCCACACUGGAACGGAGAAACGGUCCAGAGUGCUACGGGAGGCAGCAGUGGGGAAUUUUGGACAAUGGACGCAAGUCUGAUCCAGCCAUUCCGCGUGCAGGAUGAAGGCCCUCGGGUUGUAAACUGCUUUUGUACGGAACGAAAAGGUCUCUCCUAAUACGAGGGGCUCAUGACGGUACCGUAAGAAUAAGCACCGGCUAACUACGUGCCAGCCGCCGCCGUAA